rnacentral:rRNA from 1 species
AACGAACACUGGCGGCGUGCCUAACACAUGCAAGUCGUGCGAGAAAGUUCCUUCGGGAGCGAGUAAAGCGGCGCACGGGUGAGUAACACGUAGGUAACCUGCCCCCCAGUCUGGAACAACUAGAGGAAACUCUAGCUAAUGCCGGAUGAGACCACGAUCCCUUCGGGGGUUGCGGCCAAAGAUGGCCUCUACUUGUAAGCUAUCGCUGAGGGAUGGGCCUGCGGGCCAUUAGCUUGUUGGUGAGGUAACGGCUCACCAAGGCUGUGAUGGCUAGCUGGUCUGAGAGGAUGACCAGCCACACUGGGACUGAGACACGGCCCAGACUCCUACGGGAGGCAGCAGUGGGGAAUAUUGCGCAAUGGGCGAAAGCCUGACGCAGCGACGCCGCGUGGGUGAUGAAGGCC